UUCUGAAAACCUGGCUGAAAAUGUCAGAUCUUAUCUGAUCUUGGAAGCUAAGCAGGAUCAGACUUGGUUAGUAUUUGGAUGGGAGACCACCUGGAAAUCCUGGGUGCUCUAGCAU
rnacentral:rRNA from 14 species